AAGCUCCGCGGGCUGCCCUUUGCACUAAGUAAUUUUUGGCAAUUUUUUAAGUGAUUUUUCGGCGGAGUCCUAGCGGCGCUAUAAUCUCGGACAGGUUAUCCCGUCUCUCCCGCUAGAUUGAUGAGAUCAGGCAUC
ensembl:misc_RNA